UCUCGCUCUGUCGCCCAGGCUGGAGUGCAGUAUCGCGAUAUCGGUUCGCUGCAAGCUCCGCCUCCCGGGGUCACGUCAUUCUCCUGCCUCAGCUUCCGGAGCAGCUGGGACUGCUGGCGCCCGCCACUACGCUCGGCUAAUUUUUUUGUGUUUUUAGUAGAGACGGGCUUUCACCGUGUUGGCCUAGCGGUUCUCCAACUCCUGACCUCAUGAUCCCCCCGCCUCAGCCUCCCAAAGUGCUGGGAUUACAAGCGUGAGCCACCGCGACCCGCCAACACUCUUGACAACAGUGCUGUGCUAAGAACUUGGGGGACUUCAAAAAGUUCACCAGUUCCUGUGUCCAUGGGUGAAAAGAUUUUCUACAUCUUUCCUUGACUAGAAACAGAAGUCCUGAAACAAGAAUAUAACGUCAGGAGGCCAGAGGCUUUGUCCUGCCUAAUGUGUUAUUUCCACACUGAAUAAAAGCACCUGAGUCCUGCAUUUUAAAAAGGUUGUACAUCUAGCAAUACCUAACAAAAUAGGAAAUCAACUUGGGGAUUCUGCUUUUGCAUCUUCCUCGUUUUCUCUUGCCGCUGCCAAGUAAGAAGUGCCUUUCACCUCACACCAUGUUUCUGAGGCCUCCCCAGCCAUGUGGAACUGCAAGUCCAGUUAAACCUCUUUUUCUUCUCAGGUUCCAAAAUUAUUUUAGGCAUGGGAUCAAAGAAGAAACUUCUUUGUAGCAGCAUCCCAGUACUAGGACUUUUUGUCUCUGCAUGGAAAUCUGAAUAUAUUUAUAUGUUGGAGUGACAUCUCUACAGGAAGCCUAGAGACCUAACUGUUUGCUACAUGUCACCAAAGUUAAAGUGGCUACCUUAAUGAGCAGCCAGGAUGCCAUCAUCUCCGACCUGAAUGACAAUAACCUCCAAACCAGCCUUUGUAUACUCCUUCCUGCUGCUCUGCAGUCCACUUCCACAGACCAGCCAACUGAAUCUCCUUAUAGAUUCAUAAUGGCCAUCAGCACAAAGAUGUUUUAUCUGCAGUCAACCAGUCAUGUUUCAUGAUGGCAUCAAAAUGUGUGCUGGAGUUUGCUGGGGGUCCACUCUAGAUCCUGUUUGCCUGAGUAUCACCAGCGGACACUGUAGAACAGCAAAGAUUGCUGCCUGCUCCUUCCUCUGGAAGCUUCGUCCCAGAGGGGCACCUGCAAGAUGCCAACCAGAGCUCUCCUGUAUGAGUUGUCUGUUGACCCCUGCUGGGAGGUGUCUCCCUUUCAGGAGGCUCAGGGGUCAGGGACCCACUUGAGGAGGCAGUCUGUCCCUUAGCAGAGCUUAAAUGUUGUGCUGGAAGAUCUGCUUCUGUCUUCAGAGCCAGCAGGCAGGAAUAUUUAAGUCCACUGAAGCUGUGCCCACAGCAGCCCCUUCCCCCAGGUCCCAGGGAGAUGAUGGGAGUUUUAUCUAUAACCUCCUAACUGGGACUGCUGCCUUUCUUUCAGAGAUGCCCUACCCAGAGAGGAGGAAUCUAGAGAGAGUCUGCCUAAUUUGGCUUUGCUGCGCUGCAAUGGGCUCCCUCCAGUCCAAAGUUCCUGGAGGCUUUGUUUACAUUGUGAGGGAAAAACCGCUUACUCAAGCCUCAGUAAUGGCAGACGCCCCUCCCCCCAUCAAGCUCCAAUGUCCCAGGUCAACUUCAGACUGUUGUGCUGGCAGCGAGAAUUUCAAGUCAGUGGAUCUUAGCUUGCUUGGCUCUGUGGGGUUGGAAUCUGCUUAACAAGACCACUUGGCUACCUGGCUUCAGCCCCCUUUCCAGGGGAGUGAGUGGUUCUGUCUCACUUGCGUUCCAGGCACCACACAAUUGGAAAUGUAGAAAUUACCUGCCUUCUGCGUUGGUCUCCCUGGGCGCUGCAGACUGGGGCUGUUCCUCUUCAGCCAUCUUGCAGGGAAUCACAAUAAAGAAUUUUUAAAAGGAAGAGAAAAGCAAUCAUCACUAUUUUGGUUUUGUUUUGUUUUAGGAGUAACUGACUACUGAACAGUACUGCAUGUUUCUGAGGUUCCUCUGUUAUUCCUGUAGUUCACUACCUCUGCAUCCUCCCCAGGACAAGAAAUUCAUUUUCCUUAUUGUACUGUGUUAUGCCAAGAAUAUUACUAUUGUUCGGUGAAUAUAAAAUAAUCAUUAUAGCAACAAUUUUUUUGGCGUCCUAAAUAAGGCUGAUCCAUGGCAACGGUACUAUGCAAAGAAAAGAAUAAAGUCAAAACACUUGUAAAACCUUUUACUUAUUGGUAUCAGACAUCUGUUAUUUUAUUAAUCCUCACAAUGUCUUUUAAAGGUUUUGUUAUUUGUAUCUACAAUCCGGGGAGAAGAAACUGAAGUACAGAGGGGCAAAACGAUUGUUACCUAGUUGAAUGACAAAUUAGAUGAGAAUCCAAUAUCCACAAGGUGUUAGGCCCUGGAAACAUUAAUCUCAUGUAUUAUUAGCUAUUCUCACAUACAUAUAAG
rnacentral:lncRNA from 10 species